rnacentral:rRNA from 1 species
UUUCACUCGCCGUUACUAAGGGAAUCCUUGUUAGUUUCUUUUCCUCCGCUUACUGAUAUGCUUAAGUUCAGCGGGUAUUCACGUCUGAGUUCAGGUCGAAAAAUGAGAGCAAACACACGCACACACAGUGUGUGGGCAAAUCAAUUACGCAUUUGCUGUUGUGUGCUUGUGUGUAUGUGUGUAAGUUGCCAGACAC